GCGGUUUGGGAUCAUUAUGCCAGCAUCCUUGAUAAAAUCGCAGUCCUCGGUCUAGGCAGGCAGCAUCAACGCAGGCUAUAACACUUCACCGAAGCAAAGUCACAUUCCUACGCCAUUAUCCUACCGCCCAAACCGAUGCUGGCCCGAUAAGCUGCGGGUCACCCCGCCACGAAGGCAAAGCUCACAAAAUAUCGAGUCUGAUCUCAAACCCUUCCCUUUCAACAAUUUCACGUACUUUUUCACUCUCUUUUCAAAGUUCUUUUCAUCUUUCCAUCACUGUACUUGUUCGCUAUCGGUCUCUCGCCAAUAUUUAGCUUUAGAUGGAAUUUACCACCCACUUAGAGCUGCAUUCCCAAACAACUCGACUCUUCGAAAGCACCUUACAUAGGAUUGGGCAUCUCAUCGCACGGGAUUCUCACCCUCUGUGACGUCCUGUUCCAAGAAACAUAGACAAGAGCCAACCCCAAGGUUACAAUCUUCAAAUUACAACUCGGACACCGAAGGUGCCAGAUUUCAAAUUUGAGCUUUUGCCGCUUCACUCGCCGCUACUAAGGCAAUCCCUGUUGGUUU
rnacentral:rRNA from 1 species